UUGAUUAUGACGUACUUGUACUGAUUGAAAUUUUAACACGAAUUGAGUGGCGAACGGGUGAGUAACACGUGGGUAACCUGCCCAGAAGUAGGGGAUAACACCUGGAAACAGAUGCUAAUACCGUAUAACAGAGAAAACCGCAUGGUUUUCUUUUAAAAGAUGGCUCUGCUAUCACUUCUGGAUGGACCCGCGGCGUAUUAGCUAGUUGGUGAGGUAAAGGCUCACCAAGGCAGUGAUACGUAGCCGACCUGAGAGGGUAAUCGGCCACAUUGGGACUGAGACACGGCCCAGACUCCUACGGGAGGCAGCAGUAGGGAAUCUUCCACAAUGGACGCAAGUCUGAUGGAGCAACGCCGCGUGAGUGAAGAAGGGUUUCGGCUCGUAAAGCUCUGUUGUUAAAGAAGAACGUGGGUAAGAGUAACUGUUUACCCACUGACGGUAUUUAACCAGAAAGCCACGGCUAACUACGUGCCAUCAGCCGCGGUAAUACGUAGGUGGCAAGCGUUAUCCGGAUUUAUUGGGCGUAAAGCGAGCGCAGGCGGUCUUUUAAGUCUAAUGUGAAAGCCUUCGGCUCAACCGAAGAAGUGCAUUGGAAACUGGGAGAGUUGAGUGCAGAAGAGGACAGUGGAACUCCAU
rnacentral:rRNA from 1 species